CUAACAGGGAGAAACCCCACAGCAACCACCGAAGCUGCCACUUCCCCAUGACCGUGUCGUUGCCAUGGUCUCUCCCUCGCCGAGCUGAGGCCACCAGAAGAACCGCCUCGUCGUCCUCUACAUCUGGGUGCAAGGAAUCGAGCUGGGGUUCGCUCAAUCGUCGCCAACUUCGCCGUUUCUCUUCUUCGGCCGUCGCACUCCGACAAGGAUCCCGUCGCCGUCCGGCCUUCCCCGACCCUUCCGAGCACCUCUACAGUUUCUAGGAGCUCGACGCCGGCGACUCUCCGGUGAGCCCCUGCGCUACGCAUCGGCACCAUCAAGUUCUCCAUGUUCAGGCGCAUCUCCGAGCCAAAUCUGGAGAUCGAAUCCCGACUUGAUCUCCCUCUGCCAUGAUUGCAGUUGCUGAAGCUCGUCCGUUUCCUGAGUUGUUCUAAAGGCCACGCGCCACUGUUCAUUCACCAACACCGCACCAGCCCAGUGAUCCAUGGAUGGGCUUUGGCCCAGGUUCUUCCCCCGGCGCUAGCCUACAUCCGAUGGCGCCGCAGGCUUAGUUGUGGCCCAGAACUGAGCAGGUUCGGCCCAGUUCGCCC